rnacentral:lncRNA from 1 species
GGGAGAGAGAGAGAAAAAGAAAAGGAAGGAAGGAAGAAAGAAAGAGAGAAACUAGAAAACAAAGCAAGUGCUAAUAAACGGGUAUAGGCCAGUUUAUCUUGAUGUGCAUGAAGUCACCUGGCAAUUGGAUGAAAUGCAGAAGAGGCUUGGGAUUCUGCAUCUUUAACAAGCCCCCAAGUGAUGUUGAUAUUGCUAACCCUGAACUGCACUUUGAAUAAAGAGAAUCUUGACCACAGAGUACCAAGGAAAGCAUAAACCUCUUUAGGUUUAGAACUGAUGAAUGAGCACUUAAAAUAGCGACUUGGACCAUUGGAACUUUUAUUUUGCGUCUUCUCUAAAAAAAUAAUCGUUACUUGCUGGAAAAAAAUCUGAAGGUACUUUUUCAGAUAGGAGGAUGCCAAGAGAAGAAAAGCAUUUUCUCUGUCUUCAAAGAGGAAAAGAUGAGCAUAGUGAAUUUCGGGUGUUGUAUUUAUUCAGCUUGGACGUUUAAAAGAUACUUGGCUUUCCCAUACUAUCUUGACAUGCAUUUUGCUGUUACUUCUACCUGGGAUGCUGGCACUGCCCACCACACACUGUUGAAGACUCAGUUCAGGAAUUGUUAGGAGUUCUAGAAGAGGGAUGGAAUGCAAACAACAACUCCCUUUCUCUCCAGGAAGAAGAGACCUGAAGCCCACGAUUGUGGUUUUUGAAGACUGAGCUCUCUGCCCUUGCGUAAGGAGGUCCAAGAUUUCUCCUUGAUAAAAAUGUGGACUGAAAUGCUAGUUAAAAGAAGCAAUUAGGGCUUUUGGUAUAGAGAAAUAUUUGGAAGCUGAAGAGACUGAGGUGGACUGGAAAAGAUUUGGAGAUGCCAAACAUCACAACUCAGAGACAGGAAAGUGGUCUGAAAAUAUAGCAGCUGCCUGGAGGUGCCAGGUGAGUGGGCUUGGAGAAGAGCCACGAUGAGGGCCACUGUUGGAGUCAUACUGAAGAAACUCUUCACAGCCUUCCCCAGAGGACUAUGCAGUUAAGCGGCAAUUCUGCCUCAUGUAGACAAAUAAUCAUGGAAGGUGAUUCGCAGCCUGUGAUCAACUUCUUUUUUAUCCCAGCAAAAAUAAGUGAUUCCUGAAAAUUAUCAAAAUAAUCAAACACAAGGAGAGUCUGAGAAACUGUCACAGCCAAGAGGAAUCUUAAGGUGACAUGAUGGCUAAAGGCAAUGUGGUACUCUAAAUGGGAUCUUGCAAAAGAAAAAGAACAUUGGGGGAAAACUACAGAAAUC